rnacentral:snoRNA from 1 species
AUCCCAUGGUGAGGACAGGCCAGGAUGUACUCCUGAAGCCUUUCCCAUGCCUCAGGAAUUGAUUCCAUUGCUGCUUGAUGAAAACAUGAUAUUCUUCCUCGAAGGGU